rnacentral:rRNA from 1 species
GAUGAACGCUGGCGGCGUGCUUAACACAUGCAAGUCGAACGGAAAGGCUCCUGCUUGCAGGGGUACUCGAGUGGCGAACGGGUGAGUAACACGUGGGUGAUCUGCCCCGCACUUCGGGAUAAGCCUGGGAAACUGGGUCUAAUACCGGAUAGGACAGUGUUUGGAUGCCAUUGUGGAAAGUUUUUUCGGUGUGGGAUGAGCUCGCGGCCUAUCAGCUUGUUGGUGGGGUAAUGGCCUACCAAGGCGUCGACGGGUAGCCGGCCUGAGAGGGUGUACGGCCACAUUGGGACUGAGAUACGGCCCAGACUCCUACGGGAGGCAGCAGUGGGGAAUAUUGCACAAUGGGCGCAAGCCUGAUGCAGCGACGCCGCGUGGGGGAUGACGGCCUUCGGGUUGUAAACUCCUUUCGCUAGGGACGAAGCGUUAUGUGACGGUACCUAGAGAAGAAGCACCGGCUAACUACGUG